rnacentral:rRNA from 1 species
GAUGAACGCUGGCGGCGUGCCUAAUACAUGCAAGUCGAGCGAACAGACGAGGAGCUUGCUCCUCUGACGUUAGCGGCGGACGGGUGAGUAACACGUGGAUAACCUACCUCUAAGACUGGGAUAACUUCGGGAAACCGGAGCUACUACCGGAUAAUAUAUUGAACCGCAUGGUUCAAUAGUGAAUGACGGUUUUGCUGUCACUUAUAGAUGGAUCCGCGCCGCAUUAGCUAGUUGGUAAGGUAACGGCUUACCAAGGCGACGAUGCGUAGCCGACCUGAGAGGGUGAUCAGCCACACUGGAACUGAGACACGGUCCAGACUCCUACGGGAGGCAGCAGUAGGGAAUCUUCCGCAAAGGGCGAAAGCCUGACGGAGCAACGCCGCGUGAGUGAUGAAGGUCUUCGGGUCGUAAAACUCUGUUAUUAGGGAAGAACAAAUGUGGAAGUAACUAUGCACGUCUUGACGGUACCUAAUCAGAAAGCCACGGCUAACUACGUG